GCUGGCGGCGUGCUUAACACAUGCAAGUCCAUCGAAGCACUCUAUUUGAUUUUCUUCGGAAAUGAAGAUUUUGUGACUGAGUGGCGGACGGGCGAGUAACGCGUGGGUAACCUGCCUCAUACAGGGGGAUAACAGUUGGAAACGACUGCUAAUACCGCAUAAGCGCACAGGAUUGCAUGAUCCGGUGUGAAAAACUCCGGUGGUAUGGGAUGGACCCGCGUCUGAUUAGCCAGUUGGCAGGGUAACGGCCUACCAAAGCGACGAUCAGUAGCCGACCUGAGAGGGUGACCGGCCACAUUGGGACUGAGACACGGCCCAAACUCCUACGGGAGGCAGCAGUGGGGAAUAUUGCACAAUGGGGGAAACCCUGAUGCAGCGACGCCGCGUGAGCGAAGAAGUAUUUCGGUAUGUAAAGCUCUAUCAGCAGGGAAGAAGAAUGACGGUACCUGACUAAGAAGCACCGGCUAAAUACGUGCCAGCAGCCGCGGUAAUACGUAUGGUGCAAGCGUUAUCCGGAUUUACUGGGUGUAAAGGGAGCGCAGGCGGUGCGGCAAGUCUGAUGUGAAAGCCCGGGGCUCAACCCCGGUACUGCAUUGGAAACUGUCGUACUAGAGUGUCGGAGGGGUAAGUGGAAUUCCUAGUGUAGCGGUGAAAUGCGUAGAUAUUAGGAGGAACACCAGUGGCGAAGGCGGCUUACUGGACGAUAACUGACGCUGAGGCUCGAAAGCGUG
rnacentral:rRNA from 1 species